CCUUUACACCAAUGGAAAGCUCAUGUACCUCGCUUUGGAGAUAUAGAAUGGAAUAUAUCUAUGGAUUAUCUUGAAGUAUAGCACAAAGUUUUCAACAUUCGAUCGGAAAGAGGAUGGAAGUUUUAAAUAAAAAUAGAAUUGGAAUGAAGACUUCAUUAAAAUAAUGGUACUAUC